rnacentral:lncRNA from 1 species
GUUGGGGGGGUUAGGAGGCGGUGUUGACAGCUGUGGAGGCAGCCCGCGUUCCCGGCAUGCCCCGGGACGGCGGGGUUGGCUCUAACGAAUUUGAAUGAGGAGCCUCAGCGCUUUCGGCGCCAUUUUCGAGUGAUGCCUGAUCUCAUCAAUCUAGCGGGAGAGACGGGAUAACCUGUCCGAGAGUACAGCGCCACUAGGACUCCGCCGAAAAAUCACUUAAAUCUCCAAAAAUUACUUCGAGCAAAGGGCAGGUGGCGGAGCUUGGCCAGUGUUGGCGCAGCCGGUUUUGACCUUUAGGAGAGAGCCAAUUCUGGAGAACAACCUAACUUCUUUGAUUGAACAUUCACAUAAUGCAAUGGAACAUGAUAGGAGAUUAAGGUUAAUAGCAAUAAAAUGAAGAUCAUAAUAAAACAAGCCCCCUACUUAGCCCUGUGGUUCUU